GACAUUCAGUAAUUCCAAAACCUGCAACCAUCUUUUUUUUUUCCCUUGGGAGACUCCCUGAUUUAUUGUGAUAGAUGUUUGCUCCACCUUUUUUAGUAUUUCCAGGAUACUCACUCAGACCCUCAAUACUUUUUUGCUUUCACCUGGAAGAACAUACAAUGAAUGUGAACCCAUCAACCUCAAGGAUAUGUAGAAAAGCUCACCCUGUUUUCUCAAAUUUUGUAACAGAAUUUAGCUUCCAUCUCUUUCAAGGGAUUCAUCUCAGAUAUGGCACAUUGAUGAUCUACUAGCUGUACGUGGUGUUAAGAGUUGACAUGAUGACAGCCUCAUUUUCUUCCUCAUCAUCUUCUUCAGCCUCAUUUGAGAAAUCAUAAAUUUUCUAAAUCAAGAGUAGAGUUGCUUCUUUUAAGAACUUUAGAACCCAACCACUUGACUGUACUUGAAGACCUUAAAACAAUUUUAUCAGAUCCAGCACCAUGAGUCAUAGGUCUUAGUCAUUUCCUCGACACCCCACGAAUUAUGAGGUCCUGCUGGACGGGACAAGUGGAGCCCAACGUGGACUCGAGGAACGGACUCUCGACCAGGUGGACCCCUGAAGUCGUCCGGACCCCUAAUUCUGGUGAGUAGUUUCGUCCACCUCAUUUCAGUUAUGGGCCAUAAGCUUUCUAAGGAACAGAUCUUUGUUAAAGAUCUUAAGGAUUCACUCAGGGAAAGGGGAGUAAGGGUUAAGAAUUCAGCCUCUGUGUUGCAGGCUUAGAAAAUAUCAAGAAGUUUGAAAAAUCUUUCUCUCUCUCUGUCUCUGGCUGACUGCAGCAGCCUGUGAGAAAAAGGGAGAGAAAAGAAAAAAAAAGGAAAAAAAAAAGGAAAUGAAUAAAAAAAACAGAUUGAAAGGGAUUUGAAAGUUCAGAAAGUUAAAAUAUAUAUAGAAGAGCAGUGUGCUAACAUUUAAAGGAAAGAAGUUUGAAUGGAAUAUCUAGGCAUUCUCUGUGAAGGCAGAGAAAAGCACUAAAUGGGCUUGGAAGUUCACAGAAGCCCCUUUGGAUUCUGGAAUGGGAAAAGGGAAUUCAAGGUGAAACAAACCUCUCUCUGGGGGUUGAGGUCUUGGAAACAGCCCCUAGUCUGUUUGCUGAUUUAAGAGCUUUGCUAAGUUUUAAGAACAAUGAUUAAGGAAAAUUUGCUUGUGAUUUUAAAUUUGUUUUUAAGGAAAAGCCUACUAGAGUAAAGAGCAAUAAAAUUCAAACUUAGCCUGGCCUGGGCAAUAAAAAGCUCUGGAGAUAAGAUGCUAAUAAGAUGCUGUUAGAAGAAAUGUGGUGGAAAAGAAAAAAAAAACUUUUAAAGACAGCUGUAUUAGUUUGAUUCAGUUUGUUACCGUCUGAAAUAUAUUGAGUUAUUUGUUAAAGUAAGUUAUACUUUAAAUCCAGCUCUGCUGGACAUGUGUGGGUUUUGUGGAAGUUUGGGCUAUUCACUAUAGUGUGAAUCUUACAGGUUUUUGAAGGGAAAAGGAAAGAGGAUUACAGGUGAUUUAGGAAGGACUGAUUUGUAGGGGAAAUUAGAGGUUUGCAUGAUUUUAGGAAGGUGAAAGACUUUUGGGAGUAGGUGAAGAGGUGGGGGAGGGAGCCACCCACCCCCACUGCCUUCUGCUACUUUACCAAAGGAGCAUCUGGGAAGGAAAGUUCUUUAAGGAGAUUGUUUAAGUAUGUAGCUAGAGAGAAGGAGAAAGUUGGAAACAGGUGGAUUUGGGAAGUAAUCUGAUGUUGGGAAACUGAUGGGCUAAAUCUUGAAAAGGAUCCCCAUGUAGGAAAUCGAGUGGGGAACCUGAGGGAAGUUUUUUUCUAGGGGGUCAGGAGUGGGGGAAGGGUGGCCAUGUGGAAUCCUCUUCUCCCCUCACCCCUCUUAAGUAUGUUCCUGCCGCUUUUUUUCUUAUCUGAUUGUGGCAGUGCAGCAAACUGUGAUUUUUAAGGACAUGCUUACUUUUAGGUUAAAUGAUUGAAUAUUUGUUUUUUUGAUAGAUAAAAGUUUUCUUGGUUGAGGAAUAUGGUCAUAAAUGUGAUCCAUACUUUGGUCCGAGUAUUUCUAAAAGUUUUAAUUGCUAUGUUAAAAACCUUCUUGAAUUCUUUUAUGUGGAAUUGGGUCUUUUGUAUAAGUUUAAAUUGAUUGUAUUGGGUCAUCCUGAGGUUAUUUAAAGGGCCUCUGAACAUAAUAGCUUUUUCUUUGUCCUUUGAGAAUGUUUCUGUUAUGGACAAUAUGCAGUUUGGGAUAUUUUUCUAUGUAUUGGGUAUUUUAAAAGCAAAAUGAUUUGUAUGUAUAAUGUUCACUCAUGUAACAUCUACCUAGAUAUGAUAAUUGUUCUAAGUUGUGAACUUACUGAGGCAAAAUUUCUUUCUGUUAUUACUGUAAGGUUAUGGUAACUCUUUGUUUAAGAUUUCUCAGACAUUUGAUUAAUGACAUCUGUUAUUGGAGGUAAAGGUUUUUGGGCUUAGAGUUAAUUAGUUAAUGCUAUUUGGGAGUUUUAAAGCUCCACCCUCUGACAAUUACUGGGACAAUUGAUAAGCAGUUAAAACUCAA